rnacentral:tRNA from 1 species
GCUGGGGUGGCGGAAUCAGGCAGACGCGGCGGACUUAAACCCCGUUGAGAGCGUGCUCUCAUGAGAGUUCAAAUCUCUCCUCCAGUA